GCAAACUCUUCAGAAAUACUUCUCGAAAAUUCUCCUGAGACCAGUCUUUGCGGAUAGUGAAACUAAUCCUUUAGGUGCUACUCGCGGUAUGGCUAGAAGCAAGAGCCGCACUGAUAAAGUAUCAGUACAUAGUCAUCCACCCACAGGAUGUGGACAAGAAUGAGCAUAACCAAAGAAAAAGAAGCAGGUGAAGUGACUUUUAACCAGAGUGAACGAGGCCAGGGAUCAAAAUCUCUCAGGACGUAAUUUUAAAAGAGGAUGCCUUCUGAGUAUGAGAAGUUGAUAAAAUCGUUGGGGGAUGUGCUGAACAGCUUUUGACACCUGUGGAGGAUGUGGCAACCCACACGAGUAAGGUACCCUAUUCCCCAACAUCAAUCAACACUCACUGCACAAGAGAAAGACUAGACAAAGUGUUCAGUUCUUUUUCCAGAUGGCAUGAAACGUUUUGAAUAGGUCGCUGGUCCAUGUGGCAUAGAUAUAUUUAAUUAACCUGUUCGGUCAUAUUAUAACACACUUCCAGGACAUGUGGGACUUGGACCUGGGCCUCCUGGCUCAGAGAUAGGGACAUUAUUGCUGCAUUGCAAAAGCCCAAAACAAUAAUCAUACACCUAGACCAAUAAACCAAUUGCACUUAUGUGGCAUAUGCUAUUGUCUCUUACACCUGCAAGACAACUACCUGCAACAGAGGUCACAUUUUG